rnacentral:lncRNA from 1 species
CCCCCUCCCAGGGAGGCCAGGCAGGAUCUUCAUGGGAAGAACAAGAAGCAGCAUCUGUUUUUCAUCAAAACUCUCCUGUCAAGACUCCUGGAUGGCUCAGUUGGUCAAGUGUCUGACUCUUGGUUUCGGCUCAGGUCCUGAUCUUGGGGUGGUGGGAUUGAGCCUCACAUUGGGCUCUACAUUCAGCAUGGAGUCUGCUUGAAAUUCUCUCUUCCUCUCCCUCUGCCCCUCCUCUCCUUGCUCCUGCCUCUAAAAUAAAUAAAUAAAUAAAUCUUUAAAAACAAAUACACGACAAACCUCUCUUAUCCUAAGAGGUGUUGGCUUUGGUGGUGGGGACUCUGGUCCACCCCUCCCACAGGGGGCCUCCAGUCAGCCCAGGCCCACUGCUUUGAGGAAGGAGAGUCCAUGACUGUGCUUUUGGCUGGCUGGGCCACUGUGGGAGCAGAGGCAACAGUGGCAGGGCUUCUGGUCAGGCCACUCUCCCCAGAGAUGCCUCUGGCCCUCCGUUUGCCCUUUUGUCAUGGGAACAGUGGAUCCCUAGGGAACUUACUGUCUACAUCUGCAAGGAAAUGGCCAGGGACACUGGGGACCAGAGUGGUGCUAGUAGAGAAGCUGGGGCCCUUCGGAUUGUUUCCCUUCACAGAGAUAAUGAUGCUCUCAUAAACUCAAAUGAAAGAAGGCGCCCCCAACUCGAAGUUUGACAGUCUCCGAAGACCUGGGGGAGGCGGGUCCUGCUCCUCCUCAUCCCUGUCUUUGUGAAAUGAGAAAUGCACUGGCUCUACUUGGAAGCUGGUCUGAGGCCACACUCACACCGUUCAUACAGGGGGUCCCUACGAAGACUGUUCUUGGCUCUUUAAAGCAGAAGACCCCCCAGGGACCAGCAGCAGGGUCAGUCAGGUUUGUGUCCUGGUCCCUCCAGCAGGCAUGGCCGUCUGUCCAGGGCAGUGUCAGGGGAAUCCUGCAGCCUGAAAAUGCUUUCCCCUCCGGGCCUGAGUAAACAGAUGGGGACUCCUGGCUCUGGGUGCCCCCUGGGACCCUGUGAAGCUUGGAGGCGAGAAAUUGUACCAGGAUGGAGACAGAGAUGGAGACGGGAGGGAAGCUCCUCCAGGACAAGGAGGCUGAACUUCAGAAGGACUCACAGGAGCCAGAACUCUCAAGCCAGGUGGCUGAUGUGGGAUCGUGCCAACCUGGAACCCUGUGGCCACGUGGAGAAGGCUCAUUUGCAGAGGGAGGGACAGAGAAGGAGGGAGACAGAAAUGCCCCAUAGCCUCUGCUUGGUCUCUGGACCCCAGCUCCCCGCUGCUGGAAACUUCCUUCCUGGGGUUGUUCGAGACAGGAAGCCGUGGGACAACUAUCGGUCGAUGAGUCCCGGAUGUGACCGCUUCUGUGAAGCGUGCCACCUAGCCGGAUGGUUUCACCAUAACGUGUGAGUCCUUGCUGGGGGCAAGCCAGUGCUGGGGCCGUACUGAGGCUGCGCUGUUGCAGUGCAGGGAGCACCUGCCAUCCGCCUCUCCAUGGGCUUGGGCCUCUCCCAGCUGUGGCCGGGUCCAGAGAGGGAGCUUCCAGGAGGAGCUGGCGUUCCAGGAGCAUCUGGUGAGGGCUGCCCGGGUUUCGGCUGAGGGAGGAAGCGGCCAGAGCCCACCCCGCUCUGGGGAGACGGACAGAGACCCCACCACCCCAAGGAAAGAGGGUCCCAGACUUCAGGGUCAUGUUUUAUUGCUGCCACACGUGAGCUCCUAAGACCUCUUCAAGCCAGGAAUGUAGCUUCGUGCAAAAAUUCCUAAGGAAGAACACACUUCUGUCCUUUGUGUCGGGGGACAGUGGGGACCAGCUCUGCAGUGCUAGGAGUGCAUGGUGACCUCUGGAGUGCACCAGGAAACCUGGAGCUCUCCAGAUCUUUACACCGCCCAGCCUUCAAGCUGGCUCCCUGCUGCCACUGAGAGAGAGUGCCGUCCAACUGUGAAAGCACUAAAAAAAAAAAAAAAAAAAAAAAAAAAAACCCAAGGCAAAAGUCAUGAAACAUAAAUACAAACCUUUCUAAAAGACACAAUUUGGUGGCAUCUCACACAUUCACCAUGUUCCAGGACUACCUUCUGUGUCUGGCUCCGGAACAGCCAUAUCACCCCUCCCCUCCCUGGGAACCACCCCUCGGCCUCUCCUCUCCAGGGACUGGCUGGUUCUGGACACUUCGUUUGCAAGGAAUCAUAGAGCACGUGGCCUCUGUGUCUGCUUUCCUGCCCUGGCAUCGUGUUUCCAGGCUCGUCCACGGCUGAGUGAUGCUCUGCUGGAUGGGCAGGUCCUGUUGUGUUUAUCCAUCUGCCCGUGGAGGGACAUCUGGAUCGUUUUCAAAUUUUGGCCAUUGUGAAUUGUGCUGCUCUGAAGGAUUGUGUGGAGGUUUUUGUUCGAAUGUCUGUUUUCAAUUAUUUUGGGAAAGCACUUGAGAGAGAGAGAGAGAGAGAGAGAGAGAGAGAGAGAGAGAGGUCUGUCUGUCGUCAGCUCCAAGAAUGUUUCUCUGAGGCAGCCCCAGGUUGGGACCAGCAUGUGUCCUGGAGAGAAAACUGUAAGCUGAAUGCUCCUUGCACCCGGGACCAGGCCACAUUUGUGGGAAGAGGCAGCUGGAACCUCCUGCAACAUGUUUCAAGGGAUCAGUUCUGUUUGGCUGGAGGUGCCCGGAGAAGCCAAGGCUGCUGUCCCAUCUCUGCAGUGGGCUGGCGUCAUGGGGCAGAGCUGGCCCCAGCAUGGACAUGGGCUGGGGGUCUGCAUGAUUUGGGCUGUCCCAGGUUGGCUCCUGGGUGACCAUAGGCCCCUCUGGGGGUAUCGGGGGGCAGAUCACGGAAAUCAAACGUCCAGCAGCUCAGAGGCCAUUGGGACCAUUGGGACCCUCAUGGGAGCAGAGACAGUCCCUGUGAGGAUAGGCCUGCUGCUGGCCCUGAACCCAGAAGGCCUUGUGGGCUGGCAGGUGGUCACGCCCGUGGUGCCAGGGCCUGGCUGCUGAAGAGAGGCAGGGGAGCCUGUCCUGUGCUGUGGGGAUGUCGAGGCUCGUGUAGGCAAGUGGGGCAGGUGGACUCAUGCUUCACCCACAUCUUUGCCAAAGGUGCUAGGUACCAGGCAGGCUCUGGGGUCCGUCUACUGGCCUGUAUUCCCAGGGUUGAAGCUCUGAGGAAGGGCCUUGUGGGGACAUGGCUGGGGGGUGGCAUCCCUCUACCAGCAAGAGAGGCUUCACCAGAAACCAAACUCACCAGCCCCCUGAUCUGGGACUUUCUGGCCUCUGGAAUGGAGAAAAUCAAGUUCUGUAGUUUUAGCUGCCCCAUCUGUGGGGUCUUUUAUGGUACAACAUGAGUUAAUGGGCCCCUUCCCCACUGGUGGCUGGGAGAGCCCUGGGCCCCUCAGGUGAACCCAGGGUGAUUUCCCUGAGACUGAGAGGGACUGGAGCUGGGCAAGGGGGAGGCCAGGGUCCCAUCCAUAUUUAUUUAAUGUUCUUUUUUUUUUUUUUUUUUUUUUUUAAGAUUUUACUUAAUUUAUCCAUGAGAGACACACACACAGAGAGGCAGAGACACAGGCAGAGGGAAAAGUAGGCUCCCCGUGGAGAGCCCGAUGCGGGACUUGAUCUUGGGACCCCGGGAUCACAACCUGAACCAAAGGGAGAUGCUCAACCACUGAGCCACCCAGGCUCCCCUAACAUUUGACAUUUUGCCCAGAGUGGAUACUUUUGCAUUACCUUUGAUUUAAAAAUUACAUUAAACAUAUUUUAAAAAUCUUGA